rnacentral:lncRNA from 1 species
CCUGCCUCAGGGCUGGUUCCCCAUGGCGACCCUUCUCUAGGCCAGCUUCCGGUGUCCUUCUGCCCCACCAGGAGCCUGCCCGACCAUGUCCAGGAGUCUGAAAAGCUCACCUGGCAUUUACCCUGUUCCCUGAACUGCUGUGUUUAGACCUUCAGUGAGAGUUGCCUCCCGCCAAGUGCACAGAACACUAUCCACAACCCAGCAGUUCUAGGUGGGUCAGUCGAGGGCUGUUCAUGGUGCACUUUCCAUGUGGGUAGAACACACAGCCUCAUGCUGCCCCAGAGUCAGUCCCAGAGGAAAGGGGAUCCCUGCUCCUGAGUCCUGGCAGCGGAUCCUGUGUAAAAUAUUUCCACUUCAUCAUGGAGCUCUUCUGUGCAGUGCUGCCCCAUUAACGUGUUUCCCUGGUGUCCCCCAAGACCCCGUGGUGCCUCAGGUUGCAAGAUUAGCCCUUCUUCUCUGAGGCAGUUUCAAUGCCCCACAGCAGGACAGCUGGUGCCUUUGUGGGGAGUUCUCUAAUCCAGCCUCCUCGUCUGUCGGGAGAUGCACCCAAGCCUUUGCUGGAGCCCCAGUGGCCCUCCACCAAGGGCUGUCCAGUGGAGACCUGUCCAGCCCAGCACACUGCCACUCAUGCUCUGCCCUGUGUCUCCCAUCACCUCCCUGGUUCUAUUAGAAGUCCCAUGAACAUUGCUGGACGGGUAGGUCCACAUGCCUCCCACUUUCCACUCCAGUGAGAUUCGAUAACUGCCAUGAUAGUCACUCCACGGGAAGCAU